ensembl:lncRNA
GUAGAAUAUUUUUGUUCAUAUAUAUUUUUUUUAUGUCAGUCCUCAAGUUCAAAGCACUGAGUUAAUUAUAUUUUUCAGUAUUAUGGCACUUGGUCUGUGUUAGUCCGUGCGAAUUCUUUCUUUCUUUUCAAGUUAAAAUUUAAAUUAAGCAUGUAUCCUGCCUUUACCCAUUCUUCUACCCAUUUACCUUUCUAAUGAGACAAAUCUAAUGUGUUUAUUUUGUAUUCUUUGUGGGUUUUUUGAUGCAUGCUCUUUCAACAUACAUUGUUUCUUUUCCACUUAGCAUUAUGCUUUUAUGACCUAUGAAUAUUUAUGUCUGUUUUUGUCAUUCAUUCUUCAACCUGCUGUGCUCCACAGUGCAAUUUCAUCACCUUUUAUCCACAAAGUUUUUUGGUGUUGGGACCAAGGUCACAUCAAAAACCUGUCACUUCAAGUACUGUUGUGAUGACCCAUUUCAUACAGGCCCUGCUGUGAAAUCUUGUGAGAAUCCCUUGGGGACAAAUGCCCAGGAGGGGAUACUCUUAGUCCUAAACUGAGGACAGUGGCAUCAUGCACAUUCCCACUAGUGGUCGAGAGGACUCUCAAUCCACACUUCCCCUUCGGUGUAAUUUCAUCAAAUAUAAAACCCUUAGUAGCAUGCCCAGCCCACAGUAAAUACUCCAAAAACUAGCUGUUAUUUUGCCUUUUGUUGCUAUAAACAAUUUAAAAAAACAGAAAAGCCUGCCGCACAAGAGAAAAGAAAGACUGCCCCUUCUUAGUCUAAACAGAAGUGAUUUGGCUUAUGUCAGCAUUUUCUGUUGAUCAAGUUUUAACAUUCCGAAUAUUUCAUAUUACUCAUAUCUCAUUUCAAAUACCUCAUUAAGGUCUUUUCUGACAUUAUUACCAGACUCACAUCUGCAUUUGAAUCUUUACAUCUGCAUUUGAAACACUGACUCUAAUGCCACAGUCUCUUAUUUAGACUAAUCUUCCCUGCAACUUUUGACAUUGAGAAAGGCCAAAUUAAUAUAUUUGGAAAAAUGCCCAACUAGAAACAGAUUUAGAAAUAUAUAAAUGAUUCUAUCACAAUAUUUAAAAUUCUUAAAGUUAUCUUUUCCUGUGGAAUUUAAAAGGGGUAGCUCAUAUUAUUUUGUUCCAGUUUACAGAUAUUUUACAUACUUAAGUUAAUAUUGAAAGUUUUACAUUGAAUAGGAAUAUGACAUUAUCAAUUUAUAUUUAAUAUUAUGAGAAACAUUAAAAAUGUCAACAUGUUUAUUUCAUUUAAAAAUGCUUUCCUCCCUUAUUUUCAUAUUAUUGCAAAUCUCAAAGUUUUAAAAUUUUGAAUGUUCAUUUAUAUAUAAAAAAUCAGACAGGAAUGGGUUCACUGGAGUGGGUCAAUGACGAGUGAGAACUGAAGUCUGAUUUGAGUGAUUUUCAGAGAUGGAGGUUUGAGGAAGCAAUAUGUUAAAGUUAAAACACCCCUAUCAGAAACAGGAUAAGUGUAUUUUAAAAUUAUUUUCAUUCUUUCCUAUUAAAUCCUAAUCUUCCCCCUAUGGCUUUUUUUUGGGGGGGAGGAACAUUUUCAAUGUGUGUCCAGGGUAGAAGAUACCACAUCUGGUCUCUCUCAUCAUGGAAACAGGACAGUGAAAGAUUUACUGCUCUAGAAUUUAUCCAAAUUUAUUACAUUCUGCGAUUUUUCUGACCACAGAGGGAAAUUUUAGAGAUGAAUGGUGAAAUAGUGAUCAACAGAGGGUUUUUUUUUUUCCUGUAAAAUAUAAAAUUAUAUAAGAUGAAGUUCUUUUUAAAUUUUUUCUGCUGGUUCUACUUAUUCAAAAAUUAUGCAUUCUAUUUCUAAUAUAAUGAUUUCCCAUGAAAUAGUCACGAAUGUGACUAAACUUAUAGUUUCCUAAUAAUUGUAGAGGAUUUCAAUUAGAUUUUAUUUUUCUCUACUCUUUGGGCUUCUUCCCAUCUGACAUAUUUAAGUCAUCUGGAAUUCAAUUGGGUAGUCUCAUUUUAAAUAUGAUUUUUGCAAUUGGUAUUUACUUGAUGAAAAUGUAAUAAUCAUUUCUUUGCCUUAGUGAUUUCUUGAGAUAAGUUCUAAAUGAGGCAAAUUUCUUAAGUUCUUCUGUAUCUGAAAUUUUUUUUUUCCCUCUCGAAUGAUCUUUGACCAGUUGGAGAACUCUUUGUUCAGCACUUUGAAGAUGUUGCUCCUUUAUCUUUCUACAUCCAGCAUUGAAUUAAGUCUGUGGUCAGUGAAUGUGUUUCCUUUGGAGGUGACCUGCUUUAUUUUUCUCUGACAGUAGUAGUUUCUGAGCUUUCUCUUUAUAUUUUUGUCUUGGAAAUUUAUUACAUAUAAAUCUACUGAACUGUGUUAACAUUUUGCUGUUUUUUCUUCAAAUAUCACUUCACAUACAUUUUUCUCUCUUCCUCUUUCCACAUUUCUAUUAAAAAUCAAUAUGGUUUGAGUCUUAUUUUCCACAUGUCCAUUUUUCUCUUAUGCUUCCCAUCUCUUUAUCCUUGUGCCAGCUAUUUUGGUACACUUCUCCAACCCAAUAUUGAAUCUAAGAGUUCUUAUUCUACCAAAACUUUGCUUUCAAUUUGAAACUGAUUCUGUAUUUGCUUUCUGAAAAUGCUUUCUAUUAUUCUCAGCUACUUGGUGGUGGGGAGACAACUGUCCUAUUGGCUGAAUCAGCUCUCUUAAAUCCUGUAUCAUUACUUUUUUUUUCACUUUAUCAAGAUAUAACUGGAGUUGAAUAGAUAAAACAGAAAGAAAAUAGAAGAUACUUGUUUGGUUGUCAGAAUACAGUAUGUUGCAAUUUUUGAUGCAGCAAUAUGCAACAAAUUAUUCUGUCACCCACAGUGUGUCUGGCACUGUACCAGGCAUUUAGAAUAAAACAAAGAGGGGGGAAAGUGUUUGUCCUCCUGAAGGCAUUCUAGUGUCUUUUCUAGUAUUUCAUUAAUACAGUUGUUGUAACAGUAUGCUAUUUUAAUAAUAUAGAGGCUAUUUAAUAAUGCUAAUAUAGAAAUUACUCAUUUUUUAUAUAUUUAUUGAUUAGCACUGUUUACUGCAUAUCUGUCUGUAAUCUAUUGUGCAGUGUUUUGGGGAGGCUAUAGACAUUAUCAAUUAAAAAAAUCAGAAGCCUCAUCAAAAACUCAAAAUCAGGGAGUUCCCCUUGUGGCUCAGCGGUAACGAAUCUCACUAGUAUUUCCGAGGAAGUGGGUUCAAUCCCCGGCCUUGCUCAGUGGGUUAAGAAUCUGAGGUUGCCAUGAACCUUGGUGGAGGUCGUAGACGCAGCUUGGAUCUCACGUUGCUGUGGUUGUGGCAUAGGUUGACACCUGCAGCUCAGAUUUAAUCCCUAACCUGGGAACACACAUAUGUCAUGGGUGCAGCCCUAAAAAUAUAUUUGAAAAAAAACCUGUCAAAAUCAGCAUAACUUAAAACCAUAGUAAAAAAGUAUGAAACACAUUCAAUUAAUUAUAUGCAUAUUGAAUUACAAAUUUUGCUUAUGAAAAUUUAUAUCAAAUUUUUGUGAGAUUGUACUACUAUAUGGUUAAUAAAAUAUGUACAAACUGUAACUCUUAUAAACAUAAUAAAGGUAUAAUGAAUGAAAUUUAUUACAUUAAUUUUAAAAAAUUAUUAAUUGUAUAAAAUGUCCUCAAACCCUAAAACUUUUUCUCCAUGUUUUGGACUCUUGAAUUUCAUUAAUCCUGCUUAAAAAGUACUUUCAUAUUACCAUUGGCUAUUUUGAGAAUUGUUCACUGUGACACCCACCCCUGGCUCUCAGGAUCUCUGUUCCCAUGUACCCCUCUAAUGGUGCCAUCACCAGAAGCCUGUCCUUCCUGGCCCACAGGCUGACCUCUACCAUCUGGGGCUCCUGGCUUGUAUGCUCCAGACCCAUGGAAAUAUAAACCAUGUCCUCUAAACCUUUAGUGUCAGCAUUCUGAUAUUGCAAAUUAUUAGCUCCCUAAUGUGUUCAAUUAAUCUGUACUAAUGGGAUAGGGUUACAGGAGCAACUACUGAAUAAUACUAACAUUGAACUUAUAAAAACAAUGCCCUGGUCCUUGAUACAGUGAGUCUAAGAGUGAUAGUUGCCAGCAAAUUUUGAAUGUGCCAUUCUUCCCAGUCAGUAGAACAGGGUCUCUAGAAUAGAACAAAAUGACAUUGUGGGGUUUUUUUCAUUAUUGUUCUUAAACAUCCCUUUUCUUCAACACACUUUUGGGGCUACUCAGCAUUUAUUUAGUAUCUAGAAAAACAAAUGUUUACAUUUGCCUAAUUUAAAAGUAAAUUUUCAUAAUAAUUUAUUAAAUAUAUUAAAAUAACUUUUCUGAUAAUAAAUUGGAAUCAAAGUUAAAUUAUUUAAGAUUACACAAUAGUACAUUAGUCUGUAUUCAUUUAGAGAAGCAGAACCAUUCGGAGAUCUAGCAAUCCAUCCAUCCAUCCAUCCAUCCAUCUAUCUAUCCAUCUGUUCAUCUAUCUACAUAUCAAUCUAUGGAUUUAUUAUUUGUGAAAGGGAUUUGACCUCACAAAGUUGGGAAGCAGGUUAAAUAGUCUCUGUAAAGUUGUUGCCUUUGUAUCUGAAAGUGGACCUUGACCUCCCAGGGCAGAUAGUUGAGAUGAGAAGAUGGGUGUAAAUUGGGGAGAAACAAUAAAAAAAAAAAAAAAA